GACGAGCCACCCAAACGUUAUUCGGAAUUACUGGGCGUAAAGGGCGCGUAGGCGGCUUUUCAAGUCGGGCGUGAAAUCUCCGGGCUUAACCCGGAAGGGUCGUUCGAUACUGUUGAGCUAGAGUGUGGAAGAGGCAACUAGAAUUCCGUGUGUAGCGGUGAAAUGCGUAGAUAUACGGAGGAAUACCUGAGGCGAAGGCGGGUUGCUGGGCCAACACUGACGCUGAGGCGCGAAAGCCAGGGGAGCAAACGGG
rnacentral:rRNA from 1 species